GAUAGGUCCGCAAAGAUAGAGACAGCGUUAUAAGGGUCGGGCAAUGUGGCUUGGGCUCUAGCGGCCUUAAGAAGAGCCUCCUUGGCUUUAAAAUGAUGGUAGCGCACGAUAAUGUCGCGCGGAACAUCCGCGCCUAAUCUGGGCGGUUUUGGAACCCGGUGGGCUCUGUCCAGUUCCCAGGUUACCUCUGAGAGGUCAGGGACCAGCGUGGUGCUUAAUGCGGUAAUGUAGGCCGAGAUCUGAUCUGUUGAUACGGACUCUGCCACUCCCCGGAACCGCACGUUGUUCCUACGAGAGCGGUCCUCCAUGUCCGCCAUUUUAUGCCAUAAUUUGAUAUUGUCUUCUUCUAGUUUCUGUAUUCUCUCC